ACGUGAUCUGAGUUCAGACCGGAGCAAUCCAGGUCAGUUUCUAUCUAUAAGGGAGGAUUUUCUAGUACGAAAGGACCGAAAAAACAUGGCCUAUACUUCAUGCAAGCCAUAAUUAUUAACUUAUGACUAAAUCUCAAUAAGCACUUAAUCCACUGUAAACCUCAAGAAAAGAGGA
rnacentral:rRNA from 1 species